rnacentral:rRNA from 1 species
GAAAUGUAGCGUAUAGGAGGGUCGUUACUCUCGGGGUUUGCGGCGGCCGGUCCAAGUCCCUCUUGAACGGGGCCAUGGUCCUGAGAAGGUGCCAGGCCUGUGGGACGGAUGCCGCCCCCGAGAAGACCGUCUCCUUGGAGUCGGGUUGCUUGAGAGUGCAGCCCUAAGCAGGUGGUAAACUCCAUCUAAGGCUAAAUACAACCACGAGACCGAUAGCAAACAAGUACCGUGAGGGA